GAUGAACGCUGGCGGCGUGCCUAAUACAUGCAAGUCGAGCGAACGGAGGAGAAGCUUUCCUCUCUGAUGUUAGCGGCGGACGGGUUAGUAACACGUGGAUAACCUACCUAUGAGAAAGGGAUAACUUCGGGAAACCAUAGCUCAUACCGGCUAAGAUUGUGAACCGCAGGGUUCAAAAGUGAAAGACGGUCUUGCUGUCUCUUAUAGAUGGAUCCGCGCUGCAUUAGCUAGUUGGUAAGGUAACGGCUUACCAAGGCAACGAUGCAUAGCCGACCUGAGAGGGUGAUCGGCCACACUGGAACUGAGACACGGUCCAGACUCCUACGGGAGGCAGCAGUAGGGAAUCUUCCGCAAUGGGCGAAAGCCUGAUCGAGCAACGCCGCGUGAGUGAUGAAGGUCUUCGGAUCGUAAAACUCUGUUAUUAGGGACGAACAUAUGUGUACGUAACUCUGCACAUAUUGACGGUACCUAAACAGAAAGCCACGGCUAACUACGUG
rnacentral:rRNA from 1 species